AUCGAACGCUGGCGGCAUGCUUUACACAUGCAAGUCGAACGGUAACAGGCCGCAAGGUGCUGACGAGUGGCGAACGGGUGAGUAAUGCAUCGGAACGUGCCCAGUCGUGGGGGAUAACGCAGCGAAAGCUGCGCUAAUACCGCAUACGAUCUAUGGAUGAAAGCGGGGACCGUAAGGCCUCGCGCGAUUGGAGCGGCCGGUGUCAGAUUAGGUAGUUGGUGGGGUAAAGGCUCACCAAGCCAACGAUCUGUAGCUGGUCUGAGAGGACGACCAGCCACACUGGGACUGAGACACGGCCCAGACUCCUACGGGAGGCAGCAGUGGGGAAUUUUGGACAAUGGGCGCAAGCCUGAUCCAGCAAUGCCGCGUGCAGGAAGAAGGCCUUCGGGUUGUAAACUGCUUUUGUACGGAACGAAACGGUCCUGGUUAAUACCUGGGGCUAAUGACGGUACCGUAAGAAUAAGCACCGGCUAACUACGUGCCAGCCGCCGCGGUAACAC
rnacentral:rRNA from 1 species